GAUGAAGAACGUAGCGAAAUGCGAUAAGUAGUGUGAAUUGCAGAAUUCAGUGAAUCAUCGAAUCUUUGAACGCACAUUGCGCCCCUUGGUAUUCCAUGGGGCAUGCCUGUUCGAGCGUCAUUUGUACCUUCAAGCUCUGCUUGGUGUUGGGUGUUUGUCUCGCCUCUGCGUGUAGACUCGCCUCAAAAUAAUUGGCAGCCGGCGUAUUGAUUUCGGAGCGCAGUACAUCUCGCGCUUUGCACUCAUAACGACGACGUCCAAAAGUACAUUUUUACACUCUUGACCUCGGAUCAGGUAGGGAUACCCGCUGAACUUAAGCAUAUCAAUAAGGGAGGA
rnacentral:misc_RNA from 1 species